GUCGCGCCCUUCUCGUCCGCCGCCACCACCGGUAAUGGCCGUCACCAAAUCAUCCUCGGCCUCGGCCUCCCUUCCGGGGGACGAAAGAACCCCAAUCUCACCGUCCUGCGCAUGGCGAACCAGCGGUGGUGAAGAUAUGGCGAGGCAGAGGUGUCCGAGAUGCUUCUCGCCGCCUACAGUAUACCAUCCUCCCUUAGGCCUCCCUCGGCGCCGACCGCUACGUCACCUCCCUCACCACCAUUAGUGACGUUGAAGUCUACAGCGACCUCCGGGUCAUUCAACAUCCAUCAUCUCGAUUAAUUCGGUACCUUUUAUGGUGGGUUUUUCUAAUCUAUCCUAGGUUUGCUAGCUAACAACAAUCCACGCUAUCAAUUCCUUUUGUUGUUCGUUGACGAUGGCACAUCAAGGACAAUAUGUGAACCCUGUGAAGUUUGUCCAAGCAUCCGGCAUAGCAAAUCAGUUCAGUGCAGGAAAACUACAAUGUUGAGCAAUAUCGGAUAGUAACCUAAUUGGGAUUCAGCCUCCCAUAAAUUUUAGUGUUUGACUCUAUUGAUCUGAGAGCAGUCUUAUGAGUCAUUAUAGCAAGGGCACAGGUUGAGCACUUCCAUUUUACUUCAUUAUCUUCUCUUUCAUAGUUAAUCAAGUCACUUGGUCUCAUAAUCAUAUUCUUGCCUGGCUAUAUCCACUGUUUUUCAAAAUUCUUAGGCUCAGAAAACACAUGACCUACGAUUACAUUCUCGUUCAUUCAUGCUUGGCUUCAAAAUGGUUUUAAGAGCAUUGAUUUGAUUCAGGUAGUGAUUGGAUGUGAUAUUUUAGGUUUCAGCUAAACUGAAACCUACGAAAUCAUUGUUUAAGAAGCAGCAUUAGUAAAUUAUAAUGAUCCCUGAGGUCAUGGCCCAAAAAGGGAUUUGCAUUUUGGAAUCCCUAGUCCCAUGCAAUGAAGCCUCAUCAAGAAGAGAUGUGAUUUGAAAUAGGAGAAGAGGAAUGCAUGUUUAAACCAAUUUGCUGGUAGACUUUAGAUGAGAAAGAAGAAUGUAUUCAGAGGUGAUGUAUGGCCAACUGGUUCGAGCUGUUAAUUCAUGAAAUGUUUGGCUUGAAUCUAGAGAAUAGACAAGAUGUACAAAGGUAUUAGAGAACAAAUUUGUCCCUACAUGCUAUGCAUUGGCAAUAAUAAUUUGUAAAUGUCCUGUGGUUUUUACUGCGAACCAUCGAGGUUUCUAGAUCUGUUUUCUGAUAAAGAAAGACUUGUGGUGUUCUAGUUAUUUAUUCAUAGCUUUACUUCCUAAUGUCAGGUCUCAAGUAUAAGUCCCUCAAAAAUUAGUUUAUUUCAACUGAGCCUUGUUUAGUGUAUCUUUAAGAAUAUGGUAGGAUUAUAUAAAGUUCCCUAAUCAACUGUUAGACCAUUAAAAAGUGGGCUUCAGGUAGGUUUUUUUCUUUUUCUUCCAGAACAGGUUGAGAUUAUUAUUGCUGGACACAGAAGUCAAAGCCCAAGUAUGUAUUUAGUGAACCAGUGAGACGUAUGAAGUUGUGCCUAACUCCUAGAACGUGUUUCAUAAACAACUUGAUCUAGGAGUAUCAAUCAACGUCUUGACUGAACCCUCAUUGUUAUGCAUGGAGAUACGAAACCUAGUGUUGGACUUGUACAUUUGGAAUCUUAUGGUGUUAAUUCUCUAGCAUAGAUGAAUUCAUUGGAAUUCAAUGAGCAUGCCUAAUUUGAAUGGAUUUGAGCUCUAUAAGGAGCUUUCUUUGAAGGAAAAAAAAAAAGAGUUUAAUGCCUUUGUAAAUAAGCACCCAUCCAAAAAAAAAGGUGCACCCAUCAAGAAUUGAAUUUGCAUUUAUUGGCUCCCAAGAUCAAUUGAAUUUGCAUCCUGCUCAUUCUUAGGUAAUCUUGAGUGACUGUGUAUGGUGUGAGUUGAACUUUUUAUUAUCUUUUUUAUUCUUGUUAAUUAGCAAGAAAUGCUUAGUACACCUUAUUCUCAAAAUUUUCUGCUGUACGUGUAAGCCAUAUUUGACAGGUUAAAGGAAGAGAAGAAAGGUUUAGAGGGUCAACAUGUUGACCAGAUUGAACCAUUGAAUUCAUCUGAAGAAGAUGGAGACAGCCUAAAGGAUGGCUAAGAUGAAGGCAUCAUUUAUAUAAAGUAGGGAUGCCUGCAGCACAGGACUUGAUGGAGCUUUGGUUUGAAAUCCACAUGGUAAGAUUUUAACCUCCCAAAUGUAUAAGAAAUAUAAAGCUGUGAUAUCGCGGUGGUUGGUAUCCACAAUGAAAUAGCAGAGCUGCUUGCCAUACAAAAAUGAAAUCUUCUGGAGCUAUGGUUUCAAAUCCACAUCGGUUGAGUUUGGAUCAGAUUCCAAGAUUGAAGAGUAGAUCAAUGCCUACGUUUCUUAGGAUAAUGCUGCCUAACCUUGAGAUGGAUCUCUGAUGACAGGAGGAACAUGUUUAUGCUUCUCCAUAUAUUUGAUUUACUCUUGUAAGAUCAGUUCAUGCAAUCAUAGGAGCAUCAUAGCUCAGAGGUGAUGCUAAUCAAAUUGUGAAAAUGAAAGGCGAUAUUGGUUGACAGUGAAGUAGAAUGAUCGAGCCUGGUUUAGCGUGGUGUUGAUGGAAGACAGGUUUGAUGCCUUGGCUGGCACACCAUGACGCUGGCGAGCCGCAUUCUAUCCAAAGGGAACUACUAGUACAGUGGAAAGCUUCAUCCUUGUGCAUACAAAAACAGACAAGCAAGAGCUUGAUAGAGAAGAAGGGGGAAAAAAGAAAGGCAAAGAACAAGUUAUCUUGUUCCCCAUCUGGACCUUUUGCCAAAGCUAAAGAUAUAGGCACGUAAAGUCACCGCUAGUUCACAUCUUUUGCUCCGAGUAGUUGGAAGGUCAUCAGUAUUAAGUCGUGACUGCAGCCUUGCUCUUCCACCCGGGAAGCAAUCGCCGAUCUCCUCCCCCACCAUGCACAGAAUUCAGCAGUCUGCAAAUAAGAAGUAAGCAUAAGCACACGUAAGACUACGAUGGUGAGGCUGUGGUCGAGCCACUGGCCUGUGUUGGCUCACGCAGAUGGGCCCCAUCAGUAAUCAUGUGACUUGGGAAGCUUCAUGGGAACUUUUUCUUUUUCUAUCACAAGCAACGUGGAGCAUAGGCUGUCACUGCCCCCCACCCCACCCGAUAUGACAAACAACACAGGACUAUCCAUCAUUAACGUCUCACCAUAUUUCUAAUAUUAGUCAUCAUCAUCAUCCGCUGGAAUCGGCGACAGCCCAGCUGCUCUCGUGCCCUUCGUCGAGACUGAAAACUCACCGGCCACCUAAUCAACAGUAAUCUUGCGCUCUCCCUUCGCCAUCGGACGGUCAGAUUCUUUCGACGGACCACCGGGUCCACCAACCACCGCCGGCCCCACGCGCGCUCGCCGCGCACGUGCCUGCGGCAGUGGCACGCUCACUCGAGCAAAUGGCCGGCUCAGGUUCCAUGUGCGUCUGUUCACUCCCCUCCCCCCUCGCAUGUGGUACACGGUAUGCUAUCACCAUCAUGCUUGAGAGAACAACAUUACCAUAUAACAGUUGGUGACCCACAAAGAACAGGAAUCGACGAUCCUACUUCUUUUUCCUUUUGCUGA